UACGUAGGUGGCAAGCGUUGUCCGGAUUUACUGGGCGUAAAGAGCUCGUAGGCGGUUUGGUAAGUCGGGUGUGAAAACCCGCGGCUUAACUGCGGGCUUGCAGUUGAUACGGGCAGGCUAGAGUUCGGUAGGGGAGACUGGAAUUCCUGGUGUAGCGGUGAAAUGCGCAGAUAUCAGGAGGAACACCGGUGGCGAAGGCGGCAUCCUGGACCGACACUGACACUGAGGAGCGAAAGCCAGGGGAGCAAACGGG
rnacentral:rRNA from 1 species